AGAGUUUUUUCCUGGCUCAGGAUGAACGCUGGCGGCGUGCUUAACACAUGCAAGUCGAACGGGAAUUACUUUAUUGAAACUUCGGUCGAUUUAAUUUAAUUCUAGUGGCGGACGGGUGAGUAACGCGUGGGUAACCUGCCUUAUACAGGGGGAUAACAGUCAGAAAUGGCUGCUAAUACCGCAUAAGCGCACAGAGCUGCAUGGCUCGGUGUGAAAAACUCCGGUGGUAUAAGAUGGACCCGCGUUGGAUUAGCUUGUUGGUGGGGUAACGGCCCACCAAGGCGACGAUCCAUAGCCGAACUGAGAGGUUGAUCGGCCGCAUUGGGACUGAGACACGGCCCAGACUCCUACGGGAGGCAGCAGUGGGGAAUAUUGCGCAAUGGGGGCAACCCUGACGCAGCAACGCCGCGUGCAGGAAGAAGGUCUUCGGAUUGUAAACUGUUGUCGCAAGGGAAGAAGACAGUGACGGUACCUUGUGAGAAAGUCACGGCUAACUACGUGCCAGCAGCCGCGGUAAUACGUAGGUGACAAGCGUUGUCCGGAUUUACUGGGUGUAAAGGGCGCGUAGGCGGACUGUCAAGUCAGUCGUGAAAUACCGGGGCUUAACCCCGGGGCUGCGAUUGAAACUGACAGCCUUGAGUAUCGGAGAGGAAAGCGGAAUUCCUAGUGUAGCGGUGAAAUGCGUAGAUAUUAGGAGGAACACCAGUGGCGAAGGCGGCUUUCUGGACGACAACUGACGCUGAGGCGCGAAAGUGUGGGGAGCAAACAGGAUUAGAUACCCUGGUAGUCCACACCGUAAACG
rnacentral:rRNA from 1 species